UGCCUGAAAAUUUGUGUGUUUGAAAUAAUUAAUUACUUGUCUGUUGCUUAAAUGAUGCUACAGAUAUCAUGAACAGUCAAAUGUCCAACCCUAUGGACAACAUAUCAGGAUACUGUGUGCAGAUUAAUAGUAAAGAAUUUUGAAUUUGAAAAUAAAUUAAUAAACUACCAAUAUCAUAGUAGAUCACAUGACCAACCCUAUGGACAACCUAUCAUGAUAUUGUUUGUAGGAUUUCUUUCUAAAAUGAGCCAUUUCAAUUUUCAACAGUAUUACAG
rnacentral:lncRNA from 1 species